AUGGGACUUGGGAUAGGCCCGCGAGGGGGCUGGGGCGAUGUCGGGCAUCACCUCAGCCCCCCCACGGGCCUGGCCCAGGUCUCGU
rnacentral:pre_miRNA from 1 species